rnacentral:rRNA from 1 species
AGAACGAACGCUGGCGGCAUGCCUAAUACAUGCAAGUCGAACGAACUCUUCGGAGUUAGUGGCGCACGGGUGCGUAACGCGUGGGAAUCUGCCCCUUGGUUCGGAAUAACAGUUGGAAACGACUGCUAAUACCGGAUGAUGACGAAAGUCCAAAGAUUUAUCGCCAAGGGAUGAGCCCGCGUAGGAUUAGCUAGUUGGUGAGGUAAAGGCUCACCAAGGCAACGAUCCUUAGCUGGUCUGAGAGGAUGAUCAGCCACACUGGGACUGAGACACGGCCCAGACUCCUACGGGAGGCAGCAGUAGGGAAUAUUGGACGAUGGGCGAAAGCCUGAUCCAGCAAUGCCGCGUGGGUGAAGAAGGCCUUCGGUUGUAAAGCUCUUUUACCCGGGAAGAUAAUGACUGUACCGGAGAAUAAGCCCGGCUAACUCCGCGCCAGCAGCCGC